GACGAACGCUGGCGGCGUGCCUAAUACAUGCAAGUUGAGCGCUGAAGGUUGGUACUUGUACCGACUGGCUGAGCAGCGCACGGGUGAGUAACGCGUGGGGAAUCUGCCUUUGAGCGGGGGACAACAUUUGGAAACGAAUGCUAAUACCGCAUAAAAACUUUAAACACAAGUUUUAAGUUUGAAAGAUGCAAUUGCAUCACUCAAAGAUGAUCCCGCGUUGUAUUAGCUAGUUGGUGAGGUAAAGGCUCACCAAGGCGAUGAUACAUAGCCGACCUGAGAGGGUGAUCGGCCACAUUGGGACUGAGACACGGCCCAAACUCCUACGGGAGGCAGCAGUAGGGAAUCUUCGGCAAUGGACGAAAGUCUGACCGAGCAACGCCGCGUGAGUGAAGAAGGUGUUCGGAUCGUAAAACUCUGUUGGUAGAGAAGAACGUUGGUGAGAGUGGAAAGCUCAUCAAGUGACGGUAACGAACCAGAAAGGGACGGCUAACUACGU
rnacentral:rRNA from 1 species